CAGGUAUGUCUUGGACUUCACAGCAACCUUUUCUCAUGAACUUUCACAAAUAUUUCUCAUUUGAAUGUAACAAUUCCUAUUCUCCUUAAAACCAAUAUAUUUGCUGGCUGAGCAUUGAAAAUACUGUAGAGAUUCAUUGUGAUAAGUGUUACAUGGAGGCCAGACACAUUAUUGUCCAACAUGUGUACAGGGGUGUGUUAUAUAUAUUAGUCCAAGAAUUGUUGAACUGAAAAUAGGGAAGUAGCAUAUAAACCUUAAUAAAAGAGUACAUGGAUCUAAAAUAAAGUCGUAAAACUGCUAGGAAUAUGAUGACAUAUUUUUAAAGCAACUGCUAGGACUAUGAUGAUAUCUUUUUAAAGCUUUUCAUGAGGACACUUCUGGGUUGCAUUCGUCCUUUGAACAUGAUUGCUUCCUUGGUCCGGCUCCCACUGCUACUCUCAUUCCUCUACCAUGUAAAGGAGGACUUUGUUGCAUGCUUGUGUCUUUGACAGGUCAACCACUUCAUGGAGAACGUCAUUGAUAUGCAUAUUCUACAUCAUUUCUUAUGCUGAAAUCAUCUUUUGAGAAGCCUUUGGUUAUCAUACUAAUUGCUGAUUUGAGCACUGAAAGUAUAGUCACCAAGGUGUUAAAUUGGGACUGGUGCAGGAUGUUGCUUAUACCGGUUAUGUGUUUAUUUAUAUGCAUCUGGGUGUGUUCUUUUGUGCUCUUCUGCUAUUAGAGCUUAUACCUGUUACAAGUCUUCCUCCUAUAAUCUGAAACAUUAUAGAUGAUUCAGUGAAGAGAAUGAAAUAAAAGUUUUUAAUCAUGCCCUUAUGUUUCACGGCCUAGGCUAUUCCCAAUCGAAACUCCUGCCAUUCUUGGUAGGCAACCUAGGUGAGCUGCAAACAUAGAGAGGCAUAUGGAAUUGUGGACAUCUAAUUACUCUUGUAAGGCCCCUUCAAUCACUAAGUGAAUCUUACUUUGUUUGGCCAUUAGUUAGAACUUAGAACUUUGGAUUCGCUUGUUCCAUAUUUUGAUAUGUUGGAUCAGUGAUUGAAAUUCGGAGCCUCGGGAUCAGACUCGCCCGAGUGACUCAAACCCAACAGGGUGCAGGAUCCACCUCCAGAACCCUUGGACUCGCCCAAGUCGGACCAAGAAAGCGAGCCUUCUGUGUAAUUUUCAUGGAGACUCCGCCGAGUCAGAUCGCUGACUUGGGCAAGUCAAACUACUGACUCAGGCUUGGGCCACUGGUGAGUCUGCACCCAAAUCUAAGCUUUAAGUCUAUGUUGGAUUUUUCUAGUUUGUAUUUUGAAGUUUCAUGGAUGACACACAGCAUAUGCUUUUUCCCAUUGUUUAUGUUGAAACAAUAUUUUAGCUAAGGCACCAAUGAAACAUCUCCUGCAGCUGUGGUGUGCCUUUUUUUCUUUUUUUUUUAAACUGGAUACACGAAUUUUUCGCAAAGGUUAUUAUCGUGCGGAGUUCUAUAAGCCAAUUGAGAUCUUGGGACAUCUCUUGCGAGACAUUCGAAAUCUUGGAAGAAUUUUGAAAUCUUGGUUUCCUGGGGAAAACUUGGUAAAAAUUAGGAAAUUUAAAAUCUAAAUUAUAAAAUCAAAUUCACCUAUAAGGUUUCAAGAUUGAAGUUUUUACAAACUUCUAUUAUGUCUGUUUGUUAACAUAUUUUGUUUAUUUUAUUAAAAAUACAUAAUGUUGUCUACACAUUUGUAACUUGCUUUUUCUCUUGUAAAAAAACUGGGAAGAUCUUGUAAUACUCUUUUCUUAAUACAAUAGUCAACACUUUCCAAAAAAAACGACUGUGGGAGGAAAAAAGAAAAUAAGGAACGAAAUAUCACAGUAUUAUGGAGAAUUAUAGUUUUCUAUAUGAAACAUUUCUAUACGAAAAGGAACAAUACACUUCUUUCAUCGAUCAUGAGAUUUCAAAAAUAAAACUGAAAUGGAGAUGUUUGUGACUAAUUAUGGCCGAAGUCCUCAUUGGGCACAAUGCAUCCCCUCACCCCCCCCCCCCCAUUUUUACCUGAUUCUUCUCCAGGUCAUGAUCGUGGCAGGAACAGAGACCACAGCUGUGACAUUGCAGUGGGCAAUAGCCCUCCUCCUCAACCACCCUGACUCCCUUCAGAAAGCUCAAACCGAGCUAGACCAACAAGUGGGAAGGGACCGAUUAGUUGAAGAAUCCGAUCUCUCAAAGUUAGAGUACCUACGGGCUAUUAUCAAUGAGACACUACGCUUAUAUCCUCCGGCCGCCACUCUCCUACCCCAUGAAUCCACUACAACGUGCACUCUCGGUGGCUACACCGUGCCAAAAGGCACAAUGCUCUGGGUGAACGCAUGGCACAUACAGAGGGACCCUUGCGCGUGGUCCGAGCCUUUGAGGUUCGAGCCUGAGAGGUUUAUAGGAAGUGGGGUUGAUGUGAAGGGCCAAGAUUUUAGGGUGAUACCAUUUGGUUCUGGGAGGAGGAGCUGUCCUGGAAUGGGCUUGGCAUUGAGGUCAUUAGAGUACGUGCUCGCGAGUUUGUUGCAUGCUUUUGAGUGGCGGAGGGAGGGCCCGGAGCCAGUCGAUAUGACGGAUGUGGGCAUCUCAUUGAAGAUGGCUGCGCCCUUGAGGGCACUCGCAACUCCGCGGCUCGAGCCUCAUGUCUGCCUCCUUGCAUGAUGCAUACAUUGGCUGUAUCUGAGGAGAGAUUAUGGACAUGUUAGAUCACAUGUAUAAUGUAUCUUAGUGCUUGCAUGUGUGUGGACACGCCCACGAGAACGUGUUAUGAUAUGUUUGUAAGAUCAUUAUCUCUAUUUGAGACUUAUUUAAGUAUUGUGUGAUGCAAUUCAUUGCUUUGCUACCAUCUUGGGUAUGUAACUGCCAGUUAAUGGAAGUCUCAUGGCUCUUGUAUUUUAAAGGGCUGGGGUAUUGAGAGAGUUGAGUGACAAUAAACUUGAGCUUUUGAGCAGCAAAUGUAUUUCGUUCACUUAAUUUCAGAUCAGAAAACAGGUGAUUCUCUCUCUCUUUAUAAAUACACAAGCUAUUCAUUCAUUUACAUGAUUCAGUUUGUAACUAGGAUACACAUCUGCAAAAUUAAUAUCAAAUAUGCUCAUCUUUGUGAUAAGGAAAAUGCCAUCAUUUGUAAGUACAAUUGAUAAUACAGGUUAUUUUCACAGAAAAUUGAUUUUCUGACUAAAUAGUCCAUUCCAACAUAAGCCAGUAUUCUGAUUUAAACAACUCUCUCUCUCUCUCUCUCUCUCAAACAAAUUCGGUUUUUCAAAAAUCAAAAUUUAAUUUUAAAACAUUUUGGUUUUUGAAAAACCAAAUGAAGGCAGGUCCAUUUUUCUUUUAAAAACGGAAACUUUGACGUAAUCCCAUAAUAACUGUAAAUAUAACAGUUAUAAACGUUAUUUUUCCAAAAAAAUAUUAAAGUUUUAAAAAUUAAAUAGUGCAUCUUUGCAGUGCCGUCAGAUAAAUUUCUCUUUUUAAAGGCUUUUACUACUUGAUAAAAGUGAUGUGUUUUAGUUUUAGGGAAAUUUACCAAAUAAUAAUUUAUUCCCAAAUUUUAAAUACUUCCCUUUGUUAUCAUUUGUAAAGUAGUAGUUAAAGAGAGUGCUUGAGAUUGCAGAGAGAACCUUUUGCAGAGCUCUAUAUAUGUGCUCUGUAUUGACUAAAACUCUCUUCUAUCCAUGUUUCAAGGUUUACCCCAUGAGAAUUUCUCAACAGAAAGAACCUGUACGGUUUGGUUUUCUCAUUUCAAUCGUCUGUUUUCUCUGCUAAUUUCAGUGCUCUUUUUAGCAGUAAAUAUUUACAGGAGGAAAUUCUUGAUUCCUCUACUAUAGUGGAUUUUGGGUGUUUCCCUCUACAGUGAGCUUAUUUUGGCUUUAGGACUUGGAGGCCUAGAUUCCUGGGGUUUCAGACUGAAAACCAGUGGUUAUGAUGCUUCUUUAGUUAUUGCUUUUGAGAUGUUGCAUAACUAGAUUAAGGAUUUUGGAGCUUAUAUUAUGUGGGUUUCUUUUUUUCUCUUUGGUGGUGGUUCUAAAAUGCCAGAGGGCCAUGGCUUUGGCAUUGGUUUAUGAUUUCCUUUGCAAAGCCUAAGAAAUAAGCCAACCAGUCGAAGAUAAAAUAUAUGUUUUUCUGUUUUUCUUUUUCUAAUUUAUUGGGGUGUCUUAUUUCUAUGGCUAAUAUUUAUGCACUAAUAAAAGGAAAACUAGAUUUACCUGUUGGAGUGGAUAAUUUCCAAAUUAAUCGUAUUUUUGUAGUCUCAUAUGUUUUACUAGUCUGUAUAUUUCCAAAUUAGUAUCCUAGAAAGUAUAUUAAAAAAGAAGUGCAUUAAAUAUUAGCCAUAGAAAUUUCUAUGAUGGGUUGUUAAGGAUAACUUCUAGAUGAGUUGAAUUUUGGGUUGUGGAUGGGAUACAUUUUCUUUUUAAUAUACUUCUUUUUUUAUUCUACUUUCUAGGUUACUACUAUUUCAUUUUCUUUGAUGGGUUGUGAAGUAUCACUUCGGGAUGCGUUGAAUUUUGGAGAAAAGAAAAACCCUAAAAUAACUAGGAGCAUAAUUAACUUCUACUCGCUCGGUCAAAUGAUCUACUUCGGAGGAAUUUUUUCAAUUUGAAAAUUUGGGAACCACAUGCUGUAUAAUUAUUUUCGAAAGAAAAAACAAAAUAAAAUUUGGAGUUUUUUAAAACUUAGAUCUCACCCUCUAAAAAUUCAUUGUUUCUAUUCAAUCUUGAGACGGGUGUUUGUAAUGAGGUUUAUAUUCCAAAAUUUGGAGUCCUAAAAUUAACUCUAGAUGAGAUUUUACCUGAGGAAAUAAGUGGUUAGUAUACUCCGGAGGGAGUAAAUAAAAUAUAUGACUUUUCAGGUGCUAGCUCAUAAGGGACUGGUAAAAAAACGUGGAGCUAACCAUGAAAAAGUGAGUAGAUAGCCAUGGGUGGGAGUGUAAUAUUCAAAUGAAAGCAAUGAAACGUAACCUCUUAUGUAUGCACACAAUAAUGUUUCAAGAACCCAUGACUUUUCCCAAAAAUGCAAGGCCCGAUGCUUCGGUGGCAAUGUUUCUUGAAUACUUAUAUAUGAUCUUGGGAUUAAUAGGAAUCCAUCUCUUCUCUGUGAACUGGAAAAUGGUUGAUAUAGAAUUUGUAUUUGUCUUCUUUUUUUCCCACUAUGUCUGUGAUAAGCAUAUUUUUGUAUGUUAGUAAGAAUUUGAAGUUCCUAUUGCUGAAAGUCCCUGAAAAGAAAACAAAAAGCCAUGGAACUUAUGUUUCUUGUAGCUUUUCUCUUAAUCUUAGCCGCUUUAUAUGUAGCCAAAGGAAAAAAUUCAAUUGUGAAUCUUUCCCCUGGACCACGGCCGUUGCCUUUCAUCGGUAAUUUCCACCUCCUGAAACGAUCACUUCAUAGAUCUCUAUCCGAUCUUGCCAACCAAUAUGGCCCCAUAUUUAGCCUGCGACUUGGAAUUAGACCAGUCGUAAUUGUCUCUUCACCUAGUCUCGCUCAAGAAUGCUUCACCAAAAAUGACAUUACCUUUGCAUUUAGGCCUCGAUUGGCUUUUGGAAAAUACCUUGGCUAUAACUACAUGUCAGUUGCUUGGGCUCCCUAAGGUGCCCAUUGGCGAAACUUGCGAAGGAUUGAGACGCUUGAACUCCUGUCUUCAAGGAAAAUUGAGAUGUUUGCGUAUAUCCAACAUGAACAAGUGGCAGCAUUGCUACAAAGUAUUGUUGAAGCCUCAGAUAGAGGAGAGGUGGUGAACUUGAAGGAUAGUAACGAAGAGACCAUGUUCAAUGCCAUUGUAAAGAUGGUGGCUGAUAAAAGUUAUUAUGGAAGUGGGACUAAGGAUCUAGAUGAAGCAAAGGCAUUUAUAGAAGCCAUUAAUGAUACAUUCACAUUGUCUGGGGUGUUGAACAUUGGGGAUUUUAUUCCAUGGCUUUCAUGGUUGGGACUUAGGGGGAUUAGACUUAUGAAAGCAUUGCAUAGGAAGAGAGAUAGGCUUAUGCAGCACAUUGUGGAUGAGCAUAGGAAAUUGAGGAGUGGGGAAGGUCAUGUUUUCAAGCCAGAUUUCAUUCACAUGUUGCUGGACAGGAAAGAAGAGGAUCCCAACUAUUUCACAGAUGAUCUGAUCAAGAGUAUAAUCCAGGUAUGUCUUAGAAUUCACAGCAACCUUUUCUCAUGAACUUUCACAAAUAUUUCUCAUGUGAAUGUAACAAUUCCUAUGUUCCUGAAAACCAAUAUAUUUGCUGGCUGAGCAUUUGAAAAAACCGUAGAGUUUCAUUGUGAUAAUUGUUACAUGGAGGCAGACACAUUAUUGUCCAACAUGUGUACGGGGGUGUGUUAUAUAUAUUAGUCCUAGAAUUGUUGAACUGAAAAUCUGGAAGUGGCAUAUAAACCUUUAUAAAAGAGUACAUGGAUCUAAAAUAAAGUCAUAAAACUGCUAGGAAUAAGAUGGUAUCCUUUUUAAGCAACUGCUAGGAAUGAUGAUAUCUUUUUAAAGCUUUUCAUGAGGACACCUCCUGGUUGCAUUGGUCCUUUGAACAUGAUUGCUUCCUUGGUCUGGCUCCCACUGCUACUCUCAUUCCUCUACCAUGUAAAGGAGGACUUUGUUGCAUGCUUGUGUCUUUGACAGGUCAACCACUUUACAGAGAACGUCAUUGAUAUGCAUAUUCUACAUCAUUUCUUAUGCUGAAAUCAUCUUUUGAGAUGCCUUUGGUUAUCAUUCGAAUUGCUGAUUUGAGCACUGAAUGUAUAGUCACCAAGGUGUUAAAUUGGGAAUGGUGCAGUAUGUUGCUUAUACCAGUUAUGUGUUUAUUUAUAUGCAUCUGAGUGUGUUCUUUUCUGCUCUUCUGCUAUUAGAGCUUUAUACCUGUUACAAGUCUUCCUCCCAUAAUCUGAAACAUUAUAGAUGAUUCAGUGAAGAGAAUGAAAUAAAAUUCUUAAUCAUGACCUUAUGUUUCACGGGCUAGGCUAUUCCCAAUCAAAACUCUUUCCAUACUUGCCAUUUGUAGUAGGCAACCUAGGUCAGCUGAAAACAUAGAGAGGUAUAUGGAAUUGUAGACACCUAAUUACUCUUGUAAGGCCCCUUCAAUCACUAAGUGAAUCUUACUUUGUUUGGCCGUUAGUUAGAACUUUGGACUCGCUUGUUCCAUAUUUUGAUAUGUUGGAUCAGUGAUUGAAAUUUGGAGCCUUGGG
rnacentral:lncRNA from 1 species